GAUGAACGCUGGCGGCGUGCCUAAUACAUGCAAGUCGAGCGAACAGACGAGGAGCUUGCUCCUCUGACGUUAGCGGCGGACGGGUGAGUAACACGUGGAUAACCUACCUAUAAGACUGGGAUAACUUCGGGAAGCCGGAGCUAAUACCGGAUAAUAUAUUGAACCGCAUGGUUCAAUAGUGAAAGACGGUUUUGCUGUCACUUAUAGAUGGAUCCGCGCCGCAUUAGCUAGUUGGUAAGGUAACGGCUUACCAAGGCGACGAUGCGUAGCCGACCUGAGAGGGUGAUCGGCCACACUGGAACUGAGACUCGGUCCAGACUCCUACGAGAGGCAGCAGUAGGGAAUCUUCCGCAAUGGGCGAAAGCCUGACGGAGCAACGCCGCGUGAGUGAUGGAGGUCUUCGGAUCGUAAAACUCUGUUAUUAGGGAAGAACAAAUGUGUAAGUAACUAUGCACGUCUUGACGGUACCUAAUCAGAAAGCCACGGCUAACUACGUG
rnacentral:rRNA from 1 species